rnacentral:lncRNA from 1 species
UCUUAAACUGCUGGAAUUGUUAUUACAUUUGUUUGCGAGUACUUGCCUCAUCUCAAAAUGCUGAACACUUCAGUUGCUUUAAGACUGAGAUUUUUAAGACUAGAAGUCUGUUUUUACAGCACUGAAAAUGUUCCAGAUGCUUAAUGAAGCACUCAGCACUUACAAGCCAGGACAAGACACAGAGGAGAAGAGAGAACAAGGCUUUUUUGUACGUCUCCUCAUAGAAGGGAAAAAGAGGCUCCACCCAGGGAUCAUGGGAAGAAGACUUUCAGGUAGGGACAAUCCUGUUCUCCUUCCUGGAUUCCUGAAGGAAUUUUCUGACAGAUAUCUAUCUACCAGGGAAAAAGAUGGAAGCUGUAAAUCUUAAAGCAUUUUAAAGACACUCUUUAAAGCAAGGCUGAAUCCAUACGAAGCAUCCACAAAGCUAUUGCUAUUAACAGAAAUUCCAGGUGAGCAGCUGUUGCAUGUCUGUUACCUAAUAUU